CUCCUCCAUCCAUCACACCCAGCCCCAUUGGAUAGCAUUUCACCUUGAUGCUGCAAAUGUUUAUAUAUGAUUUUACAAAAGGUUGAUGUAGAAGUUGAAAACAUUUUUAGUCCUACUACGGUCCAAAAGGGGGUUCGCCCCUCCCCCUAACUCCGCCCCAAUUAUAGGCCCUGUGUUUAUAACUUGGCCAAGCGGAUAAUUAACUUUUGGAAGUGGUUAUUCACACGGUAGACCAUGCGAAUAAGCUCUUAUGAGUCUUAUUCGCACGGUAGACCUAGCCAAUCAGCAUUUGACGUUUCAUGACGUCUAACCGUGCGAAUAAGUUCUUAUUCCCAAUUAGUACAGUACAUCGUGAAUUAACAAUAUUAAGGUUUAAUGACCUAAAUAUUUUACGAGAAACUUACUUAAUUUGUUACGGGAAUACCUAAUUGAACCGAAAUACCUUUUCAGAUAUCAUACAAACAUUGUCUGCCGUGCAAAUAGUAAAUAAUACAUUAUUUGCACGGUAGACGUAGCCAAUCAGCAUCGUAGAAUGUACUGACACUGUCUUCAAAAAAAGCGCCAAUAAAAGUUUUCUUCUUUGUUUGGCUUCUGGCAAUGUUCACAAUCACAAAAGCAGCCAUGAAAGCCUGAUGUCAAUGAAGGUCGGUCAGGCAUUUAAUGAUUAUGUACAAUUCUUUUGUUGAUUUCAUUAAAGAAAUUUCAGGACGAAAAUAACCUUGUUGUAGAGUACUGCACAUACAACAAUCUUUCGACAAUUAUCACAGCUCCCAUGGUCUCUGAGCGCUAUGUGGUUUGUGUAUAUAAUUAGGCCUACAAUCAAUGUAUUCAGUAGCAUUUCGAAAACACUCCCACACAUUGGAAAAGGUCCAAAAGGCAGUGAAGAAUGUACAUCUUAUUUUCCAGUACAAUAUAUAGUACAUAUAUUCGGUGGUGGAUCCAGGAUUUAUUAUGGUAGAGAGGGAUUAGGAGAGACUUUUAGAGAUGUGCGAGUCUACAGGUGGCGUUCUACAUAUACAUUACUCAAUGGACUACGAAGAAGACUGCAAUUAAUAACAAAUUUCAUGACAGACAAGUGUAUAUUUAAAUUUGACCUCAUUGGAAAUGUACUGGACUUGGCUUAAUGGGCGUUCCUGAUGCUCGUGAUGUAGACAAAGAAGCCACAACUAUCAGAAAAGAAUGUCCGGACUGAAAGGGCAACAGAACUUUCAAAUUAUUCAUAGAUAGUAAUAUUGUAUUAUUACUGCUAAUGUUUAUCUUAUUAAUAUAGUAGCCCGUUUGUUGUGAAGAAUAUAGACAUGUAAGAUAAUAAGAUAUAACAUUUUGAGGAUUAAAAUCAGGUCUAUUGAUUUUUACCGGAUGUACAUGAUAUAAACCUACAGUAUACAUAAAUAUAAAAUGUAUACAUAUAUCCCAACUUGAUUUCAAUGCUUGAAAAUAAAUAUCAAAUGAAAUUGUG